rnacentral:lncRNA from 1 species
UUUUCUGCCAUUGAUUUUCUGCCAUUUUAUUUUUCUGCCAUUUAUUUUUCUGCCAUUUAAAUUCCUGCCAUUGAUCCUAUAUUAACUGCGUGGUUUAGUAAUGUAGGGCGUGAAAACCUACUAAAUUAAUUAUUUAAUAUUUUUCUAUAACCUUUAUUUUUUUUUGUAAAUAAAUAAUAAAUACUAACUAUUUUAAUAACUUUUUUUUAUUACUUACUUAUAAUAAUAAAUCCUUAUAUAUUUUGUAAAUAAAAUCUAAUUGACCAUUUUUCUAAUUGAAU